CGUCAAAUAGCAUUUUCCGGCGGUCCUCUUCUCCAGCGCUCUUCCCUUGCCCUCGGCGGCCGGAGCCGGAGAGGCCAACUUCCACCAACUUGUUCCACUCCGGCCAGCCACAGUUGAACCCCCUCCACGCCAACACAGCUCGCAUUCACCAUCGCAGCCGCCCGUUCUCCCGACUCCCGCCCGACUCGACGGCCUCGGUCGAUCGGUCCUCUGCUCGCCUCACGCCAUGCCCACCUCCCGCACGACGGAAUGCCGAACCCGGACCCGCCGCUGCCCCCUUCCCUCUUCAACUCCCUCAUCGCCUCCCGCGCCCGCGCCGGCCGCGCGGCCGACGCCUUCUCGCUGCUCGCGCGCAUGCUCGCCGCGGGCGUCGCCCCGACCGCGUUCACCUUCGCGCCGAUCCUCUCCUCGCCCUCCGUGUGCCCCCGCCGCGCCGCGCAGCUGCACCCGCACAUCCUCAAGCGCGGCCUGCUCCAUAGCGACCCGUACUCCGGGACGGUGCUGCUGGGCUUCUUCGCGCGGCACGGACGGUUCGGCGAGGCGCUCGACCUGUUCGGCGAAAUGCCCGCACGGAGCGUCGUCACCUGGAACUGUCUCGUCUCUUCGUUCGCGCAGCAUGGGCAUGUCCAGGACGCCGUGUUUUGGUUCAGGGAACUCGUGAGGAGCAGCGAUGGCUUGUCUGAAGGCUCUCUCGUUGCGGUCUUUCCUGCACUUGUGUCACCGGACCCAGUUCAUGGGCUUGCCAUCAAAACCGCAAUGGAUUCCUUCUCGGCAGUUGCUAACUCGUUGCUGAAUUGUUACUGUACUUGUGGCACAGUUUGCGCGGCAGAGAAGCUAUUUAAUGGUUUGAUGUUCAGAGAUGUGGUUUCGUGGAAUACAAUGAUCACUGCUUUCGCUAGGAGUAACUUCCCAGGGAGAGCUUUUGAGCUUUUCUCAGCGAUGCAUCAUCAGGGUGUUUCUCCAGAUGAAACUACAUUUUCCAGUGUUCUUUACGCUGGCACCAGUAUAAAUGCACAGGAGCAUGGGAAGUCUGUUCACGCCAAAUCUAUCAAGCAUAACCUCAACACGACAGUAUUUGUGAGUACUUCACUGGUUGAUUUCUACAACAAAUGUGUUAGUAGGAGGGACGCUCUUAAAGUACUCAAAGAGGUUCCUCAUAAGAGCACUGCAUGUUGGAAUGCUCUGCUUUCUAUCAAGUCAGAUGGUGAUUUUCCAACUCUGUUUAUGAUUCUGAGAGAUAUGUUGCAAUCAGGGAUUAGCCCAAAUGAAUUUACCUUUUCUUCCUUGCUCAAGGAUCCAUCACUGUUGGAUGUGCAUCAGAUUCACUCAUUGGUCAUAAAACUGGGUUAUGACGGUAAUGACUAUGUUUCAAGUGCUAUUAUAUCUUCCUAUGUCUCACAUGGCUUUGUUUCUGAUGCCCUCGCUUAUGGAGUUACAUUGGAUCCUGACUCCUGUAAUGUCUCCAUGAAUGUUUUAGCUGGGGCAUAUAAUAGAGCUCACAUGUACCAAGAGACCAAGGAGCUACUCUUACAUCCGAAAACGAGUGAUACUAUUUCAUGGAGCAUACUUAUUACUGCUUGUGCAAGGAAUGGUGAUUAUGCUGAAGCUUUUGGACAUUUCAGACAGAUGAGAAUUUUGGGGCAUCAUUUUGAUAACUAUGUAGCUGUGAGCUUGCUGAGUAUUUGUACAAAAGUUAACAGCCUUGUUCUUGGUAGGCUGGUGCAUGGGGUAAUCACCAAGACCAGUUAUGGGUGCUCAGACACUCGUACUAAUAAUAUGUUGCUAGAUAUGUAUGCUAAAUGUGGUAGAAUUGAAGACUGUCUGAAAGCCUUUGAGGAAAUGGAAGAUAGGAACGUAAUCUCAUGGACAGCUGUGAUUUCAGGCCUUGCACUUAACGGUUUUUCUCGUAAGGCCCUGGCAUGGUUUAAAGCUAUGGAAGGGGCUGCUGUCAAACCUGACAAGGUAGCAAUUCUGGCAGUCCUUUCAGCUUGUAGACAUGGAGGACUUGUGCAGAAGGGAAUGGAGAUAUUCAAACGUAUGGAAGCUGAUUACUCAACUGAAGCUGGGAUGGAGCAUUACAUUUGUGUGGUGGACAUGCUAUGCAAGUGUGGUCAUUUAAAGCAAGCUGACUCUGUGAUUAGAGGCAUGCCUUUCCGCCCGAGUACUAUUAUUUGGCGCACAUUCAUCCAAGGAUGCAAUACAUAUGGCAUGCUAGAUACUCAAGUGUUUAGCUAGUGAUGGUCUUGGUAAACAAUGGAGGUGGGUGUUUUCUCACAUGAAUUCAGAAAAUGGUUGUUGCCAAAUUAAUAUUUAGACCAUACUAGAUAUCAAAUGAAUUUUGGUUGCACAUAGUGUUGAUAUUGUUACAGUAAUGUAAGCUACUCCCUCCGUAAACUAAUAUAAGAGCGUUUAGAAUACUAAAGUAGUGAUCUAAACGCUCUUAUAUUAGUUUACAGAGGGAGUAUCAUUUAAUUCAUAUGUUUGAACAACCUAGUAAUGGAGGAUAUGUGAUUGCUGGGCACCUUUAUCAACCACUUCACCUCUUUUGUUCGCUCCAUUAUAUCUAUGAUGAAGGGUGUUGAUUGGAAACGUCCUCAUUUGAUGAAUCUUUUCUGGUUGGUGGUUCAUUGUGGGUCGGCAUUUCUUUGCUCCCUUCCAUAGUUCCUUUGGUUUGGCUUUGUGUUCUGUCAUCAUCUAGUGGCUAACUACAGAAGGAAAAUGCCUUGCUCUUUCUGCAUGGUGUUGCAAACUAGCAAGAGGUGUUCCGCGUCCAUGUUGUUACCUUCAUGGUCAGAAUUGUGCAACAUGGAGGAGGAGAAAAGGAUGGCUUCUAUUCCAGUUGACCUGAAUAUGUGGCCCUUAAAGAUCCAACCUCCAUAUGGUCAAUGAAAUGUUCACUUUGGCAGUUAGAAUUUGAAACUGGUCGUCAUUCUUUGUGAAAGUUGCAAAGGUGGUGUGAAGGUCCACAAAGAAAAAUGGAAGUGUGUACCUAGUUAGAAAUAUCUGAAGAAAUAUUGUACAGUGACUGAAUUCAAUUAUUCAGGCAAAAGGAGAGUAAAAGGAGAAAGGCUGUUCUUGAAAUACCAAGGUGUGGUAGCCACUUGCAGCCUAUGAAAAUGUGAAAAAUGACAGGAACGUGUUCAGUAAGAUCCCCUCCUAUUUACUAUGCUUGACUUGUGAAUCUAAUUGAUGGUGAUCUGCAUGAUCAUACCAGACCAAUGCAUUUAUAAUGAUUAGUAUAGUGAGGCUGCUGUCACCAGGUGUGUUUCCUGCUCAAUGAGUAUCUGAAACGUGGAUUCCUUUUUCAUAAACAAGUUCUUGUGAGGCGCCUCUUAGCAUCAUGGAUUAGUCAGCCAAGGUCGUUAGGCUGUGGCAAAUCGGUUGCAAAGAUGAUAAAGUACGAGUCAGCACAGAGGCAUUAACUAAUUAUCAGAGGUACACAGGCUUUUGACGAAGCAUGCACAUUAGUAGCAAAAUAUGGGUUAUAUAAUACCGAAGCAUGGGCUUAUAUUGGCUAUUGCUUUUCAUUCCACUAGGCAUUGUCUACGUAGCUCCAACGGUUCGCGUUUACUAAUUGAAUGAUGACCAGGCACUGUUGUCCUGGUACUAUAAAGGUGAUCUGGUCAAAGAAUUCAAAGCAUUAUCUAAUCCAAUGGCUGGUGGGUUGAGAUAUCAUGACCUCCGUAUCAAGCUGGGAUUGCAAAGAUUGACAGUUGAAGGAAGAUCUAGCUUUACUAGAUAGUACAUGUCUAACGAUUUUAAAUUCUGAUUAAUUUUGGUUGCUGCCAUAUCUUAUGCGUGUUGCAAGGUACUUAGUGUAUCUCUGAAUUGUAGGCAGAUAAACUGGCAUUGUCCUUGGUACGACACCUUGAUGCAGAUUGCAACUGUGACUACUGACUGAUGUCUACCUGCAUAUCGUCACAAUUUGUUCUCUGUGACUGGAAAAUGCACACCUAAGGUAGGAGCUCUCCCUCCACGGAGCUUACUGGAUUCUCGGUGUGAACAUUGGUUUGGUUCAAAAGAAUUUCGUAGGAAUUCUGGAGGACUCAAUUCUGUAGAAAUUUUCCUAAAGAGCUUGUUACCUUCUUAGGAUUAGAAACCAUAGGAACUUUUCCCAUGGUCUACUUUGUAUACAAUUUCAAAGAAAAAAUCCCAUUAAGCCCACCACAUUGAUAUUUUCUUUGUCUCUAUGAUAACUAUGCCAUGCACCUAAUACUACAGAAAAAUUCUUGCAUUUUUACUGUGGUGCUACCAACAGCUUCUAUCACUAACUUGUGUGUUUUAAUUUCCCUAGGAUUCAGUAUUUUAUGCCAUCUUGUCUAUAUUCUUCUUUCAUCUGAUGGUCUAGAUACUAGAAUGAUGAAGUCAGUGACAUCACAAUGUAACGUCAAAAGAUGUGGUGCCGUGGGGACUAUUUGGUCCAUAGGAUUCUAAGACCGCAGAAAUAGGGAAAAUUGAUGGUUGAGAUCCAUCCAAUGGUAGAAUGCUCUAGGUCUGUACCAUUGCUAUUGUUUUUUUUUUCAACAAUCUUUUUUUGUUAACCAUCUCUUUGAUCAAUGUUGAAUAUAUCAUUGGUGUGAAUUUUCCACCAUGUGUUCUGGAUAACUUAAUUGAAGUUUAUAAAUUCAUGACAUGGCAGUGGUGACAUGUUAGGCAUAAGUCAGUGCCUAAAGAAAGUUCCACUUCACUACUGAGCAUGCCAUUGGCAACAGGGCAUCACUCAGUUGUCUAGAGCUGAAGGUGCUCUCCCAGCCCAGCCCACCCUGGUUCAAGGGAUGCUUAACCUCCCUGGUGCUCGUGGUAACCUUUUGUACUCCCUCCGUUCACUUUUAUAAGUCGUUUCGGACAACUGAAAUUGAGCUGUUUUGCAGUUGUCUCAAAUUUCUACAACGUCUUAUAAAAGUGAACAGGGUAAAUCAAAAUGCUGCGGGUGCUGCUUAGGAGGUUCUGUAUGUACAUAUUCUGCCUUUGUUCAAUUUGGACGUCAACUCUCCCUUGACCAUUGAUUUCAGACGUUAUCAAGAAAAGUAUUUAAUAUAUGAUGGUAUGUCAUGACUUUUGUUGCCAAAUUCGGUACAGUAGCAUAUUAUCCAUUUGGAAAACUUGAAGAGUUUCUUUUU